CAGCAGCCACGGUAAUACGAAGGGGGCUAGCGUUGUUCGGAUUUACUGGGCGUAAAGCGCACGUAGGCGGACUUUUAAGUCAGGGGUGAAAUCCCGGGGCUCAACCCCGGAACUGCCUUUGAUACUGGAAGUCUUGAGUAUGGUAGAGGUGAGUGGAAUUCCGAGUGUAGAGGUGAAAUUCGUAGAUAUUCGGAGGAACACCAGUGGCGAAGGCGGCUCACUGGACCAUUACUGACGCUGAGGUGCGAAAGCGUGGGGAGCAAACAGGAUUAGAUACCCCAGUAGUCCCUGUCUCUUAUAA
rnacentral:rRNA from 1 species